UAGGGAGACCUAAUCCAUUUAGAAAUCGAGAACAAUGAAAAUUGUCAAUAGAAACUAAAGUGGUCUAACCUAGGUCGGUCGAGAUUGGUAGAUAUCUUUCAAAGUAUUAUUAGGCUUAGUUCAAUAGGAAAAAAGACAGCACCUAACAAUCAUCGUUAGACUGCUGGGUGAAAUUCCAGCCAGAACCUUGAAAACUGCAUAAGAGAAAGAGAAAAAGCAGGCAGACACAGACAUUUAAAUGGAUGUGAAAGCAAAAGAAAUUGUGGUCAAGCUAAUAAGGGCACCGCAAGUGGUCAAGCUAAUAAGGGCA
rnacentral:misc_RNA from 1 species